rnacentral:rRNA from 1 species
CGGACGGGUGAGUAACGCGUGGGUAACCUGCCUCAUACAGGGGGAUAACAGUUAGAAAUGACUGCUAAUACCGCAUAAGCGCACAGUCUCGCAUGGGACAGUGUGAAAAACUGAGGUGGUGUGAGAUGGAUCCGCGUCUGAUUAGGCAGUUGGCGGGGUAACGGCCCACCAAACCGACGAUCAGUAGCCGGCCUGAGAGGGUGAACGGCCACAUUGGGACUGAGACACGGCCCAAACUCCUACGGGAGGCAGCAG